UUUGACACAUGUUCUAACUUUCUUUCAGGUGCAGAUGCAUUGCAUCCUUGGCAGAGGGUCAGGGUUAGGAGGUGCCGGGCCUUCUUAGGAGCACGCUGUCUGAGAGACACCAGCCUGGUGACAGCAGGACCUUCCCAGCUGACAAGGUGGCCUUUCUUUGUACCUGACAGGGACCGGCAUCCCCCAAUGUCUGAGAGAUAAGUAGAGGGCUACGACCCACAGAGGGGAUGAAAGCAGGGUGCUGGUUUGGGAAUUACUGGGAGGGGUUUCUGAGUCUGCUUUGGAGGUGAGGGGUGUUCAUGAAGUGGCCCCUUGGGCGCCAAAAAAGCAAAGUCUCACUUUUGAUGACAGUGCUGAGGUGUGCAGCAGGGCAGAGCAGCUCCGGUAUGUAUCGUGUCACUUGUCUGUCAUCCAUUAUGUGUUGUUUGUGUAUCUCCUGUCUUUUACCUUAGCCCUUUGAGGGGCCUGUCAGAAACCCUGGCACCAUUCUUAGCAUCCAUGAUCUCAGCAUUCCUUGCCCUGGCACCCAUGCCAUGGAACUUUUGACUGGGGAGCUCAGGCAGGCAUCAGAAAUGCCUCUCUCUUUGGAAGCAUCCUGUCAGAUGUCUUUUCAGGUCUUGUUCUGAGCUGUACGGACAGCUAUGCCCCGCCAGGAUCCAUUAUGGCUGAUUAGGACGUGUAAGAAUGCGAGGUUAGGGAGAGGAUUCUGACUGUAGGAUUCCUAGGCAUCCAUCUUUGCAGUUCUUGGAAUAAAUCAUUCGGUUAAGCAUUGUCUUCCUCCAGGGUUCUCUGAGCCUCAUCAGCUCACCAUCGGUCUGACCUCGGUCAUUUCCUUUUGCAUUCUCUCAAUCCUGGCAGCGAUUUUUCUUACAAAGGGAUUUCUGUCUGUGUCUUGUGCCAUUUGUUUGUCACGUCCUGUCUGUCCUGUGUCAUGGGUGUCAGCACACAUUUGUGCCAGAGCUGCUCUGCCCUGCUGCAUAGCCUGGUGCAAUAGGAGGCAUCUCAGGGACUUGGAAUUUGUCAUGUGGGGUGCAGGUGGACUCUAGAUGGAAUUUGGAGAUGGACACAGGAUAUCUGGAGCCCAUAAGUUAUCCUGCAGCCCUUUGACUUUCAUUCUAACUUUCUUUUAGUUGCAGAAGGAUAAAAUCCAGGGCAGAGCCACCCAUCCUGGGUGAGGGGAUUCCCCCAUGCAGGAAGUCAGGGCAAAGAGCAGCUGUCAAGGCUGAGUGGGCAAGAUGGUCCGCUUGCCAUCUAUCCUAGCCCAGCAUGCCCGUGCCAGGUGCUGUCACUGCCCUAGGCAUGACCAAGGAACAGAGGAGGGCAGGUACCUUCUGGGCAGCCUCCGGAGUCAAAUCAAGACUUGAGGUACCCUGGGGAGGCUUGUAGCCACAGCUUGGAAGCGGCAGCACCGAAGCACACACAUUGAGAACAUCUCAACAUCCAUAUCUGACCGACGAUGGCUUUUGUCCGCUCGUCUUCCAAAAGCUAAGGGUCGGGGCCAGUGGUUGGGAGAAGGGGAAAAGCCUUUACUAUCACAGGAGGCAAUCUGAUGUCAGCUUAGCGGAGAGGUCUGUAGUGGGACGGGCUCCCUGGAAGUAAAGGGAGAGGGUUUCUCCUCAGCCUCACCAGAGGUCGGGCAGGGCAGUUCCGACCCCUCUCCACAGCGUCGCGAACUUUGCGUUGUCAGCCUUCCUCGACUCAGCAUUGUCACGGAUCUUUCCCCCGAGGAGCUCGCCUUCAUGUCCUGAGCUAUAACCGUGGUCACCCAGCAGUCCGCUUCCUUCUCUAGGCUUGCCGAGCCUCUCGAGCAUCUUCUUAACUGCUUUGGCACUAACUUCUUUUAACGAGUUACAUUUCAUCAUCACAUGCUGUUGUCAUAGGGCUUCCUUUCCCUUGGCCUCAUCGGCCUCUGGCUCGUCUUGUGCUAGGACUCUCGGGUCCCUAAGGGGAAAGUGCCAAUCAGUUGCAACUUGUCUCUGUGUUAUGUCAUUUGUGUCUAUGUUAUGGUGUCCCUGUCUGUGGUAUGUAGUGUGUGUCAAUUGUCUUCCACGUCAUAGGCCUUUGUUACAUCUCGAUGCUUUAUCGGCACUCAUCUGUGCCAUAUAGGCCGCGUUCUACUCACAUUCCUUUCUGGAUAUCCCUUAUUCUGGCAUCUUUACAAUUUUGCUCUUUGAGACAGGAAUGUCUCACAGGGACAAGAUGUUCUCAUGCAUCUUCCUUCUCACUACCAGCUUUGCUGGUGCCUUUUUUUCCAUUGUCUUGGACUUCUACAGGGAGCGUCUUACACCCUCUUCAGGUGACUGCAGUAGUUCUGUAGGUUCUAUUUUCUCAAAGGGUAUAGGGCUCAAGAAUUCAUCUUCCAGAGAGUUAUCUCCAGUCCUGGCUUAUAUUGUAUGUACCUAUAUCAUGUGUACCUGUAUUGACGUAUAUUGUAUGUACUCAUAUUGUAUGUACCUAUGCUGGCUUGUACAGUAUGUACUUACAUUGUAUGUACCUAUGUUGGCUUAUACUGUGUGUACUUACACUGUAUGG